UUCGAUCUCAAAUCAGGUAGGACUACCCGCUGAACUUAAGCAUAUCAAUAAGCGGAGGA
rnacentral:rRNA from 1 species